UCUAAUUCAUGUAAUAUUACAAAAUUUAAAAUUUUUUUAUUACAAUUAAUAUUUUACAUUAGAUAUAUUAAAAUAAUAUUCUAGAUCGAUAUUCAAUUGUGAGUCUUCAACUAUUUAUACAUAAAAAAAUAUUAUUAAGUACGCUUUUUUUAAAAGGUAGUUUUAUAUUUUAAGUAGGUUAUUGGAUUUUUCUUUUCGUAAAUUUAUUCGAGAUGAGAUUCUGAUCUUUUAAAUUAAGAUAAUUUGUGUUCUAUACAAAAUUAUAUUUUUUUUACAUAACUCUAAAAUCUCGGACUUGAUUCUUCAUAUUUUAUUAGUUAAUUGUGUUACAUAUAAUAGAAAUAUUUACUUCAAACUAAAAAUAUAAAAAAAAAUCAAAUUUAAAAAUUGAUUAUAUAUAAUUUAAUAUAGAAAAAUUUACAUACAAAUAAAAAUGAUAAAUGUAACAAAUUUAAAUAUAUUAUCCGCGCGUAGCGCGGAGAAAGGAUCUAGUACUAUUAAUAAUGAGAGGAAUGGCGUCACGUGAAAGGAGUUUGUGGGAACCCAUUUGGGAUUUAUAUAAAUAAAAUGAAUAAAUAUCCGUACGGUGCAGUCGUACAUGUUAACCUAACCCACUCCAACUUUUUUUUUUCUUCCUUACGUGUCAUACCGUACAAACCAACGUGACUAGUCUUCAAAAUUUAAUUUAAUGUGAAUAGAUUAGAUUAAAGAAUGAUAAGUGUGCGUCAUGGAAGUUACCUUAUUGCAUUAGUUUGACUGAAAAGUUAUCCUACUAUAUAAAAGGAGCUAUUUUAAAGGCUUCUAAAGUGUGCCACAUAUGCAAAAAAUUCCUGGCCAAUCAAUCUAACAGCUCAUCUCAAACUGGGCUGAUAUCCAUGUCAAUUACGAAGCCCAAACAAUUUAUUUAAAUCCCAGUCAAUACUGAAGUCAGCCCAAUAUCCAUUUACGGUAUAUGAUAUCAAGAAACUAAGAAGCUCAUUCUAUUUUAUGAAAUUACAUGCUUUUGUUUAGUCUUUCGCCACAGUGACCGGAUGCGUGUUGAAUCACAAAGCUUCUCACGCAUCCCAUUAUUAUACUAUUUCAAUUGAGGUUCUUAGUGUUGUUCUAACUUAUAUUUAAAAAUAAAUUUUAUUAAAUGUUAUAGAUUUUACUAUUAUCUUAAUAAAAUUUAAUAUAGAUUUGAUAUAUAUUAUAUCAAAUUAUAUAAAACUAAUAAAAAUGAUAUAAAAUUGUAUAAUUAUCAAACAUUUGGCCUAAACAAUAUUUUUAAAAUUUUGUAGAUAUAUAAGAAACUAAAUAUCAUACGAUUAGAUAUUAGAUGUUUAAGAAUUGCAUAUUUUUAAAAGCUUUAGUAAUACAAAUUGUAUAAUUAUAUAAAAAUAAUAAUAUUACUAAAUCUGGAAUGGUAUAUAUGAAUAUAUAUUUAUUUUAUAGAUGAUGCAUAAGAUAUUACCAACAUUAAAUAAAAUUAUCCGUCUCAUGUUUAUUUUUUUAAUUGUAGAGAUGGCAUGUAGCAAAAUGCCCAAAAUGACCCUAAUACCCUAGAUAUAUAGAAAAUAUAAAAAAUUUGAAAUAUAAUACAAUAAUUAUUUGUAGAUAACUGGUACGUUAAACUUUGUGGGACAAGGAGACGUCUAAUUUCAGGGAGUAAAAUCGCAUAUCUACCAGAAAAAACUAAAUCGUAAUCAUCACAAGUGUCAUUCUACGGUUACAUGAAGGGAAACUAUCACUCACAACCACACCUGGAUCGCGCUUCUACUUUGACAACAAUAUUGAUAUCAUACAACGCUUCCAAAAGAAGAAUAAAUGUCUAUCCUAAGCUUCAUAGCAAACGACACCAGUCAACUUUUUUAAAAUUUACGUUACAGCUUUCUACGUCAAUUAAAUAGGCACACUCAAAUACUAUUUUCUCUUACGAAUAUUAAAUUCAUCAACAUAAUUUAUUAUUCAAACUUACUUUAGUUUAUAAAAAAAAGUGAUCACCGCUUCCAACGUCUUCACAUUAUAAAAGAAACAAAACUUAACUUACACUUUCAGAAACUUUAAAACUUCCAAUUUUAAUUAAACUAUUCUUUAAUUAAACAUGUAAUCCGCGCGAAGCGCGGUUUCGCGCGGAUACGGACUCUAGUUACUGUAAUAAUUUUGUAGCAAGAGGUUUGUGAUUUUCUUUCAGAGAGGUUUGAGAUUCGAUUUCUAUAUAGUUCAAUUUAUUGUUAUUUAUGCAGAUUAAAAUUUGAAAUUAUAAAUAUCUUGCAAAUAAAACUUUGAUGCAUUAAUCUUUAUAAGAUAUAGUUCAGUAAUGUAAAUAAAACCAUUAGAAGUGGAUCAAUAAAAUUAUUUACUACAAGCCGUUUGUUUCUAGUUUCUUUCUUCUUUAAUUUUUUUCUUAAAAAUUUGUUGGUCUUUAUUUUCACUCAAAAAUGUAUAUAUAUUUUUUUCUAUGUUUUCUCUUUUUAUGGUCUAAAAAUUAUUUAGUUUCGUUAGUCAUCAACUGUCGGCUAAAAAUAUAUAAUAAAAAUCAUCCUAUACGCUUUGGUAAUAAUAAUGCGAAAACCAUCGUAUACUCCACUUUCUUUAGUCAUCACACUGGUCAGACUCUUGACUGCUAAUUUGUACUUGCAAAAUUUUAAUAGAAUUUCAAUUGACAGGUGAGUAGAUUCAUCAAUACCUCAGUCGAAUUCAAUUGAUAAAUUUCACUUAGUAAGUUAGUAUCAUAACUUACUUACCAAAAUUCUCAAAUGACUUUGUUUUGUUUACAAGUAAAUAUAGAGUUUCCAGUUAGCUGAAAAUAUAUGCUAGCGUAUACAUUUCAGCUUUUAUUAACAACCAUUUAUUUCAAUAGAUCUUAGAAAAAAAAAUGCUUUCGUUGAACGACAAAGACUUACACACAUGUUGAAAAAAUCCAAGAAGACGAUUCUGUAGAAAUAAAAUCGAUGGAUAUUUAGUCAUUUACAGACAUAGAAAGUUCUAGCAUGGAGUAGUAAUUAAUAGUCUUCUUGAAGUAGUUGUAGAACGCAGAUAAUUUUAUUCAUUCCUCUAUAUCUACGCAUUGAAUAUAAAUUGAUUGGUUAGGUGAAACAAGACCCGGG